UGGAUAUGGUGAAAUUUCAGGGUCUAACUUUAAUUAUUUGCAUGUGAACAUCCAGUUUUCUUAGCCAUAUGCCGCAGUCUGGCUGGGCACAAAUGCCGCAGUCUGGCUGGGCACACAAUCACGAGCCACCACACAGCUUGUAGAUUCAAACAGCAACUCUUUAUUCCCGAACUCACACCAGCCGUCUACAAUCACGUUCUGGGGAAAUCCACGUUCUCUGCCCAAAUCCACCCACUGGGCGUCUAUCUCCCAAAAAAUACUGUCUGAAUCCCGUGAGAACUCAAGGGGAACUCAGGCAGCAGGAUAUGCCCUAUUCCCAGCAGGAAUAAUCUUAAACCUGGAACCUAAACCGGGAACGCCCUAAACCCGGAUCCGCCCUGGUCCUUGAGCAAGGUCACCUACAUGCAAUGUCACUGCAAAAUGUCCUAUUUCCACGAGUCCUUCCACUAAGCAACAUGGGGUACGCUGGCAAGGAAAUUGUCAUACCUACUUGGCUAAUGGCUCCCAGCAGCCAUAGAAUAGUUUAUUCUCCAGAGUGGUUUUGGCAUCCUUGUUCAAAAUCAGUUGCCUGCAUAUGAGAGGGGUUUAUUUGGGGACUUUGUAUUCUAAUGGUCUGUUUGUCGUUACACUAGUGCCACACUGUUUUGAUUAAGUUUUACAUUACCAUUUUCAAUCCUGUGA
rnacentral:lncRNA from 1 species